UCCGAAUGAGGAAACUCACAUGGGAAACCCCAUGUAUCAUAAAGUGAAUACAUAGCUUUAUGAAGGUAUACCCAGGGAACUGAAACAUCUAAGUACCUGGAGGAAGAGAAAGAAAAAUCGAUUUUCUUAGUAGCGGCGAGCGAAAAGGAAAGAGCCCAAACCAGAGAUUUAUCUCUGGGGUUGCGGACAGAACAUAACGAGAAAUCAUAGUUAAUUGAACACAACUGGAAAGUUGGACCACAGUGGGUAAUAGUCCCGUAAGUGAAAACUAUGAUAAUCAGUUCUGCACCAGAGUACCACGAGACACGUGAAACCUUGUGGGAAGCAGGGAGGACCACCUCCCAAGGCUAAAUACUACCUGAUGACCGAUAGUGAAGCAGUACCGUGAGGGAAAGGUGAAAAGAACCCCGGGAGGGGAGUGAAAUAGAACCUGAAACCAUGUGCCUACAACCGAUCAGAGCACCUUAUGUGUGUGAUGAUGUGCUUUUUGUAGAACGAGCCAACGAGUUACGGUAUGUAGCGAGGUUAAGUACUUAAGGUACGGAGCCGAAGGGAAACCGAGUCUUAAUAGGGCGACUAGUUGCAUGCUGUAGACCCGAAACCGGGUGACCUAUCCAUGGCCAGGUUGAAGCGAGGGUAAAACCUCGUGGAGGACCGAACCACGUUGCUGUUGAAAAAGCAUGGGAUGAGCUGUGGAUAGCGGAGAAAUUCCAAUCGAACUCGGAUAUAGCUGGUUCUCCUCGAAAUAGCUUUAGGGCUAGCGUCGGAAAAUGUGAGUAGUGGAGGUAGAGCACUGAAUAGGCUAGGGGGCAUAGCGCUUACCGAACCUUAUCAAACUCCGAAUGCCACAUACUAUCAGUCCGGCAGUCAGACUAUGAAAGAUAAGUUCCAUGGUCAAAAGGGAAACAGCCCAGAUCGUCAGCUAAGGUCCCAAAGUGUAAGUUAAGUGGAAAAGGAUGUGGGAUUUCUAAGACAACUAGGAUGUUGGCUUAGAAGCAGCCACUCAUUAAAAGAGUGCGUAAUAGCUCACUAGUCAAGAGAUCCUGCGCCGAAAAUGUCCGGGGCUCAAACUUACCACCGAAGCUACGGGUUCACGC
rnacentral:rRNA from 1 species